AGAGUGAACGCUGGCGGUAGGCCUAACACAUGCAAGUCGAACGGCAGCACAGUGGUAGCAAUACCAUGGGUGGCGAGUGGCGGACGGGUGAGGAAUACAUCGGAAUCUACCUUUUCGUGGGGGGAUAACGUAGGGAAACUUACGCUAAUACCGCAUACGCCCUUCGGGGGAAAGCCGGGGAUCGCAAGACCUGGCGCGGAUAGAUGAGCCGAUGUCGGAUUAGCUAGUUGGUGAGGUAAUGGCUCACCAAGGCGACGAUCCGUAGCUGGUCUGAGAGGAUGGUCAGCCACACUGGAACUGAGACACGGUCCAGACUCCUACGGGAGCAGCAGUGGGGAAUAGUUGGACAAGUCGGGGCGACGAAGGCCCUGAUCCAGCCAUACCCGCGUGGGUGAAGGAAGGCCUUACGGGUUGUAAGUCCCUUUUGUUAGGAAAGAAAAG
rnacentral:rRNA from 1 species